GUAGGUGGCUAAGUAUAUGUGUUCUCAACCUUUGCCUUUUAUGGCUAAUCAAAUUUACUUGAAGAGGAUUUAAUGGAUGGGCCCAAGAGAUCUUCAAUGCUUUGAUGGAAGUGGGAGUUGUCCUAGUUGCUCUGAAGGAAAUUGUAUGGCCACUCCUCCAGAAACUGUCUCUGUCUCUGGAUUAUUACGCAAACGAUUACCUGCUUACCAUUGUCUCCUUUUCAGGCUAAGUAUUUCUACAUUUUGGUUUUCUUGUGGAUGAGGAAAUGAUCUGGAUCUACAAAUUCCAAACCUAGCUUUGGAACUGAAACAACUUGGGUCACUGUAGUGGGCAACCUCUGUUGUGAAAAGAAAAGAAGCACCUUUCUUGAUGUCUCAGUGGCUUUUGACUCCACCAACCAUGGUUGCCUUCUGGACUGUGCUUUGAGAGUGGGAGAUACAGUGGUUUUGAUCUUAACUAUAGGAUGCUAUUACAAUGUGAAAGUUUCUCUCUUCACCUACCACUUCUCCCCUUGUUCUCCACUUAUUUCAGUUAAACUGAGUUCAAAGUGGAAAAACAGUUCACACUUAAUUCAUCUAAGGGGAAAGGCAAGGAGGAGGCAGAGUCUUCCUAUUCCCUGGAAGCUCAGGUGUGCCUCCAACAUUUCACAGAUGAAAACUAGGACACAUGUGGCCAAGGAA